UGCUUUGUCUCUUUGUUGUCCAUUUUAUGUUUAUCUAAUCAUGCUUCUGCAUCAUUUGGCCUGAAUUCCUGACUGUUAUGUUUAUUUCAUGAUGCAAUUUCCAAUUGUAUUUUAUCUCAAUACUCUAAUCCGUGUGUUGCAUGGUGUAAAGGCUAGCAUACUUCCAAAGGAAUAGCCGGCUAGGCAUGCCGCUUUAGGUGUGGACACUCUCGAGGAGAUGGCUUUUGGAUGACCUAAGUUUAAUGUGGAGAUUCAUCUUGAAUUACCAAGCUUGAUUUUUAAUGUAUUGUUUUCAUUGAUUUACUGUGGACCUAAUUACCUAACUGAUUACGGCUAUUUAAUUAAUUGUUAAAAUCGGGACUUUAAAUAAAUAAUAUCGGAC
rnacentral:lncRNA from 1 species